UAAUACGUAGGGGGCGAGCGUUGUCCGGAAUUAUUGGGCGUAAAGAGCGUGUAGGCGGUUCGGUAAGUCUGUCGUGAAAUCCUGGGGCUCAACCUCGGGCGUGCGAUGGAUACUGCCGGGCUAGAGGGUGGUAGAGGCGAGUGGAAUUCCCGGUGUAGCGGUGAAAUGCGCAGAUAUCGGGAGGAACACCAGUAGCGAAGGCGGCUCGCUGGGCCACACCUGACGCUGAGACGCGAAAGCUAGGGGAGCGAACAGGAUUAGAUACCCUGGUAGUCCUAGCCGUAAACGAUGGACACUAGGUGUGGGGGGAGUCGAAUCCCUCUGUGCCGCAGCUAACGCGUUAAGUGUCCCGCCUGGGGAGUACGGCCGCAAGGCUA
rnacentral:rRNA from 1 species